CGCACAAUUUGUAAGAAAUUCCAUGUUUUUAAAACAUUAAGUUAAUGGUGCAUUUUGGUAUAAACAUGUGGUAAGCAUAAAAAAAACCGGUAACCUGAACUUGCAGUACGCAAUACAGAUCUAAACCAGAGAAGUGAAAGAACACCUGAAAAUUCCUACUUAUAGAAUAGAUAAUAAUACUGUAUAGUCCGUAGUAAAUUUGAUACAAUUAAUUGCUAUAAUUGUUUUAUGAGCACUUGGAAGAUACUCUAUAUUAUAUAUGCAUGUAUAUCAUAAGUCUAUAUACUGACGUAACUGGACACGAUUAAGGUUAUAUUCAUUGGUAUUGUCUCCAUAUUGAGUGCGAAUGGGCGAAGAUUCUAAUUGCUGCUGGAAAGAACAUUGACCCUGAGAUGUAUCCCAAACUUAUUCAAGGUGAUCGCCAUAUCAAAGACCUUGCCAGUUGGUACUGCAACCGUGGAAAGAAGCUUCAUGCAGUGUUAUGAAUCGGAUAUUGAGCUGGGCUCGUAAUGAAUACAAAUCGUUUCGCCCCCCACGUCAAUUUGCCCCAAGUCGUCACCGACUUUGUCAAACCUUUUCACGCUUUUGUUUUUGUUUGAAAUGUCAGCUUUGGCUUUGACAAGUUUGAAGCGUGCAUGCAUUAGCGUUGGCCAGUGACUUUAUGUUGCUAUCCAUGUAUAAAGACCUGUUAAAAAGGAUAAACUUGGACAAAGUGCUUGAUCGAUGGGUAAAUCAAAAAUCCUGAAUAGUACAGUUUAAGUAAAGACUUGGAGUGUAGCUAGCGCUUAAAACUAAUUUAAUCUGACUUUUUUCAGAAUGCAUAACACUCAAUGUGUGACUUGUGAGAUCAUAAAUUUAGAAUACUUUAGCUUGUUUUUAGCUUGUUUCUAUUAAAACUUGCCAUUUUGUUGCUGUUGUUAUUGUAACAAAUAGUGCUUCCUUAUAUUGUGCUUUCAUUUUUCAAAAUGAAUUAUGAAAUCUAGCUAAAAUAUAAUUUUAGUAAAAUUUAUUUUUUUUUUGGGGGGGGG